rnacentral:rRNA from 1 species
GACGAACGCUGGCGGCGUGCCUAAUACAUGCAAGUCGAACGCAGUGGGGACGGGUGAGUAACACGUGGGUAACCUCCCAUCAGAGGGGAUAACACUUGGACACAGGUGCUAAACCGGUAUCGAUGGAUGGACCCGCGGUGCAUUAGCAAGUUGGUGAGGUAACGGCUCACCAAGGCCACGAUGCCUAGCCGACCUGAGAGGGUUGUCGGCCACACUGGGACUGAGACACGGCCCAGACUCCUACGUGAGGCAGCAGUAGGGAAGCUUCGGCAAUGGACGAAAGUCUGACCGAGCAACGCCGCGUGCGUGAAGACGUUUUUCGGAUCGUAAAACUCUGUUGUUAGAGAAGCGGUAUCUAACCAGAAGGCCACGGCUAACUACGUGCCAGCAGCCGCGGUAAUUC